UACGAAGGGGGCUAGCGUUGCUCGGAAUCACUGGGCGUAAAGGGCGCGUAGGCGGCCAUUCAAGUCAGAGGUGAAAGCCCAAGGCUCAACCUUGGAAUUGCCUUUGAUACUGUUUGGCUUGAGACCGGAAGAGGUAAGUGGAACUGCGAGUGUAGAGGUGAAAUUCGUAGAUAUUCGCAAGAACACCAGUGGCGAAGGCGGCUCACUGGCCCGGUACUGACGCUGAGGUGCGAAAGCGUGGGGAGCAAACAGG
rnacentral:rRNA from 1 species